rnacentral:rRNA from 1 species
GACGAACGCUGGCGGCGUGCUUAACACAUGCAAGUCGAACGGAAAGGCCCUGCUUUUGUGGGGUGCUCGAGUGGCGAACGGGUGAGUAACACGUGAGUAACCUGCCCUUGACUUUGGGAUAACUUCAGGAAACUGGGGCUAAUACCGGAUAGGAGCUCCUGCUGCAGGGUGGGGUUUGGAAAGUUUCGGCGGUUGGGGUUGGACGCGGGGCUUAUCAGCUUGUUGGGGGGGUAGUGGCUUACCAAGGCUUUGACGGGUAGCCGGCCUGGGAGGGUGACCGGCCACAUUGGGCCUGAGAUACGGCCCAGACUCCUACGGGAGGCAGCAGUGGGGAAUAUUGCACAAUGGGCGGAAGCCUGAUGCAGCAACGCCGCGUGCGGGAUGACGGCCUUCGGGUUGUAAACCGCUUUAGCCUGUGACGAAGCGUGAGUGACGGUAAUGGGUAAAGAAGCACCGGCUAACUACGCG